AUUGAACGCUGGCGGCAGGCUUAACACAUGCAAGUCGAGCGGGGGAGGUUGCUUCGGUAACUGACCUAGCGGCGGACGGGUGAGUAAUGCUUAGGAAUCUGCCUAUUAGUGGGGGACAACAUCUCGAAAGGGAUGCUAAUACCGCAUACGUCCUACGGGAGAAAGCAGGGGACCUUCGGGCCGUGCGCUAAAAGAUGAGCCUAAGUCGGAUUAGCUAGUUGGUGGGGUAAAGGCCUACCAAGGCGACGAUCUGUAGCGGGUCUGAGAGGAUGAUCCGCCACACUGGGACUGAGACACGGCCCAGACUCCUACGGGAGGCAGCAGUGGGGAAUAUUGGACAAUGGGGGGAACCCUGAUCCAGCCAUGCCGCGUGUGUGAAGAAGGCCUUUUGGUUGUAAAGCACUUUAAGCGAGGAGGAGGCUACUGGUAUUAAUACUACCGGAUAGUGGACGUUACUCGCAGAAUAAGCACCGGCUAACUCUGUGCCAGCCGCCGCCGCUGUAA
rnacentral:rRNA from 1 species